rnacentral:rRNA from 1 species
AUUGCACGCUCGCGGCAGGCAUAACACAUGCAAGUAGAACGAGUGGCGGACGGGUGAGUAAUGUAUGGGAAACUGCCUGAUGGAGGGGGAUAACUACUGGAAACGGUAGCUAAUAACGCAUACCAUCGGAUGUGCCCAGAUGGGAUUAGCUAGUACGUGGGGGAAUGUGUCACAGAGGAGACGAUACCUAGCUGGUCUGAGCGGAUGACCAGCCACACUGGCAAUGAGACACGGUCCAGACUCCUACGGGAGGCAGAAGUGGGGAAUCUUGCCCAAUUGGCGCAAGUCUGAUGCAGCCAUGCCGCGAGUAUGAAGUAGGCCGUCGGGUUGUAAAGUACUUGCAGCGGUUAUGCGUUACCCGCAGAAGAAGCACCGGAGAACUCCGGGCCAGCAGCCGCGGUAAUAC